CACGUAGGGAGCAAGCGUUGUCCGGAUUUAUUGGACGUAAAGAGCUCGUAGGUGGUUCGGUAAGUCAGGUGUGAAACCUCCAGGCUCAACCUGGAGACGCCACUUGAUACUGCUGUGACUGGAGUCCGGUAGGGGAGCGUGGAAUUCCUGGUGUAGCGGUGAAAUGCGCAGAUAUCAGGAGGAACACCAGCGGCGAAGGCGGCGCUCUGGGCCGGUACUGACACUGAGGAGCGAAAGCGUGGGUAGCAAACAGG
rnacentral:rRNA from 1 species